rnacentral:rRNA from 1 species
GACGAACGCUGGCGGCGUGCUUAACACAUGCAAGUCGAACGAUGAAGCUGGAGCUUGCUCCGGUGGAUUAGUGGCGAACGGGUGAGUAACACGUGAGCAAUCUGCCCUUGGCUCUGGAAUAACUGCGGGAAACUGUAGCUAAUACCGGAUAUGAGGCUUGGAGGCAUCUCCAGGUCUGGAAAGAAUUUCGGUCAAGGAUGAGCUCGCGGCCUAUCAGCUAGUUGGUGAGGUAAUGGCUCACCAAGGCGACGACGGGUAGCCGGCCUGAGAGGGUGACCGGCCACACUGGGACUGAGACACGGCCCAGACUCCUACGGGAGGCAGCAGUGGGGAAUAUUGCACAAUGGGCGAAAGCCUGAUGCAGCAACGCCGCGUGAGGGAUGAAGGCCUUCGGGUUGUAAACCUCUUUUAGCAGGGAAGAAGCGAAAGUGACGGUACCUGCAGAAAAAGCACCGGCUAACUACGUGCCAGCAGCCGCGGUAA